AGUGAACGCUGGCGGUAGGCCUAACACAUGCAAGUCGAACGGCAGCACAGUAAGAGCUUGCUCUUACGGGUGGCGAGUGGCGGACGGGUGAGGAAUACAUCGGGAUCUACUUUUUCGUGGGGGAUAACGUAGGGAAACUUACGCUAAUACCGCAUACGACCUACGGGUGAAAGCAGGGGAUCUUCGGACCUUGCGCGAUUGAAUGAGCCGAUGUCGGAUUAGCUAGUUGGCGGGGUAAAGGCUCACCAAGGCGACGAUCCGUAGCUGGUCUGAGAGGAUGAUCAGCCACACUGGAACUGAGACACGGUCCAGACUCCUACGGGAGGCAGCAGUGGGGAAUAUUGGACAAUGGGCGCAAGCCUGAUCCAGCCAUACCGCGUGGGUGAAGAAGGCCUUCGGGUUGUAAAGCCCUUUUGUUGGGAAAGAAAAGCAGCAGGUUAAUACCCCGCUGUUCUGACGGUACCCAAAGAAUAAGCACCAGCUAACUUCGUG
rnacentral:rRNA from 1 species